rnacentral:lncRNA from 1 species
GGAAUCACCAUCCCAACUGCGACCAUCUGGAGAUGACAAAUUAGAGGAUGCACCACAGUUAAGGAGUAUUAGAUCAGUGGGGCUGUAUGGCAGCAAGUAAUCUUCAGUAGCAGUAGCAUAGAGGAAGAGAUGGAGGGGAGGGAGAAGGUAGAGAGCGAUGAAGAUGGACAUUAUGCUAUUUCUUUUGUGGAAUAAGUUGGAGUAAGAAAACCUAUGCAUUAAAUGCAAAGAUUUUGAUUUAAGGGAAGAUGAUCAGUGGCGUUUUUGUCUCCAUACAGUAUUUUUGCUCAGUUGAGAAUAAUCCAAUAAUAUAUUUGAAGCCCGGGGAGUUGAAAAUUCGACGAUAUGGCUAAUGGGACAUAUUGGUCGCUGUACUUAGUCAGCUUUGGAUGGCUGCUUUCCAUUGUGUGGUUCUGAAUUCUGCAAUAAAGACGCCAUGAAUAGUCUAUGAAACUUAUUUUUCUUUUCUUUUUUCCUUAACUUUUUCAUUGUUGGAUUAAGAUCACACACACCACUUAAUUUCUUAUUUGAUUAAUAUUCUUAACGAGGUUGAAUGUAUUUCAGGUUGGUGUUCACCAUAACAAAUGCAGUAAUCACAGCUCCGAGAUUAGGAUUCAAAAGGUGCAAAGCUUCUUUUUCCUUAUGGCCACCGCCUUGAUACAAUGAUUGUCGCAAGUGCAAGGUCUAUAUAAUCCUCACCGAUGCCUUCUGUCCAAUACACACACAUCCUCAUUAUAGGCUGGCCUUGCUUCAGUCUUCAAUAAGAAACAUCGUUCUUGUUCCUCAUGAGUAGCCCUUUCACUCGCCUCAGAUCCAUGAAGUCUCAUUUACUCCUUUCUAUUAUUCUUCUUCAAUGCUGUCUUACUGAUAAAAUGCUCUUGUUUUUGGUGUUAUAUAUUCUUCAAUGCUGUCUUACUGAUAAAAUGCUCAAAUGAGACUUCAUGGAUCUGAGGCGAGUGAAAGGGCUACUCAUGAGGAACAAGAACGAUGUUUCUUAUUGAAGACUGAAGUAUAUAUAUAUAUAUAUAUAUAUAUAUAUAAAAUUUUACACAGGCUCAAAGGAUCGACCUAUUUCUUUUUGGUUCAUGAGUGUGCCUUUUUGGGCUGAGUUUAAAACCAAAAAUCUUCUCAUCUGGUAUAGUAAUCGCUUAAUUACUACAAAACUUGGUGGUAAUGAGAAAUCUUUCUUCCCAUUAAUCGAAGAAUAAUGGAUUUACCUCUCGACAUACUUGGUGCCGAAUAAAAUCAUUAGCACUAGUGAAGAAGAGGCAAGCUGUCCUCUCUUCCCUGGAGAUGGCAAUUUGUUCUCUCUCAUCCUGUUAAGCUUGAUUUCCAUAAUUGAGGGGAAAUGAAUGGAGUUCUCGGUGGAUGAAAAAUAAUUGGAAUAAUAAAUGAAAUGAAAUUGUGUUUCAUUGUUGAAACAAUCAUGCUGAAAUCACUUCAAUCCAAGUCUCUACAUUGAAUAGGUCUAGCAAAUGUUCUUAUCUUGUACAAACAGGACACCUUAAGCAAACCUGUGAACAUUCCAAGAUCUUUUUUUCAACUUCAUAGCUUGCAAUAGAUUAAUGAGGAAGCUUCUCCAUUAAUUAGUGCACGAGAAAGACAAUCACUAGACAUCGUAUCGACAAAGCAAUUGCUUGCUAUUUUCUUCAAUUAUUAAUCAUCAUAAAGUACAUACAAAUUUUAUUGCUAUACUCAUCGGAAGCAUGAGUAGAAAGAAAGAAGAAAGAUUCAGACAGUCACCCUAGACGUAGAGCAAACUGAUCCCACCCAUCUUGGUGGAGCUCACAUAGACGGACUGGUUCACCUUGCGCUUUAUGGGUGGCUAUUCAAAUCGAAACCCACACAGACAGAUAAAGAACUGACCCCUUUGUCUCCUCUUCCUCGAUCAACUACCACGUUUGCACCGAUUGUAGUAAGUGCAGGGCCGAGUGUUAGGAUUGAUCGGUUUUGCACAGUCGCCAUAUAUUUGUGCAUUGCAAAUUGGUUGUCGUUCUAAACUAUCAUAGCUAAGAUAGUUACCCUGAGAGGCCAGUAGUCUCUGAUGCACUUCAGAUUCCAUAGAGAACUCCUCUUCAUUACCUUCACCGAUUGUGGCAUUGAAAAUGGGACUCGAGUUGCUUUCAAGAAAGGCAGCUGUAGAAGCAGAUGUGAUCACAAAAACCAGCAGGAUAGUUAAAGAGAGCCACCGGAGGAAUUCAAUACUUACGCUAGGCCUCAUCUCUUUCUGUCUGUACCCUUCUGUUACAGAGUUUGAAGAGCACUAAAUAGACGUCACUGCUAAGAAGGCUUCAAACUCUGGAUAUGGAGUGAAAGGCCAGCUUUUUUCCAUUGACUUGCUUUUUUGUGAAGACUUGGGUCUUCACAUGACUGUGAUUUUGACAUUGUGCGCUCUAAUUGCUUACAGCUGGCAAACUGGUUGGAUAAUGGUCCUUGCCAAUUCAAUCGUUUCCUCAUUGUUCGUUUGCAACCAUGAACAUUUAUUUUAGUGUUUGAUAGUGGUUUUUUAUAAUAUUUUUUAUUUAGAAAAAUAUUAAAAUAAUAUUUUUUAAAAUAUAUUUUUAAUAUCAAUAAUGCAAACACUCAUCAUGCAGCGUUUUCCGAGGGACAUCUAAUAGUUGUCGGAAACCAUGUGCGCGUCAAGUCCAUGGGCCAUCAGCUGAUGCUAAGUUUUGAAAAAAUUGCAAUUAUUUUUUUAUGGGAUCCUGCUAACAAACACUAGCAUUUCUCUUACUUUUAUGUAAUUAAAUGGUAGGGUAUAGCAGUUCUUACAAAGGGACCAUAGAAAUGUCUUUUGAACUGGUGCUAUUGGCAUACCCAUAAAUCUAUUGGCGUAACAUUUUGGAAAUGGAAUGUCAAGGUUUUUUCUUCUCUAACAUGAAAGCUUUCUCCUUUUUUUUUCGUUUAUUAAUAUUCAUAAAUUAAGAGAAAAUGUUGAUUUUUCAAUUGAAUAUACGUAAGGUAUGAAUUUGCUAUGCGUUUAGAGUACAUGAAAGACUUAUUUAUAUUAGGCUUUUUGAACUUUAAAACUAAUUAAAUUCUGCUUGAAGUUGAAAAUAUGUCAUGGAUGACGUGAUAACGUGAUAAGCACUUUUUGAAUAAUUGAAGGGGAUGGAUGUUUUGUUAAGGAUGACGUCAAUAUACACCCACACACUAUGAAGUUGAUUCAAAGAAUCAGGAUUAUAAUCUGGAUCUUCGUUAGUGAAUUUAUCCUCAUCAAAACUUGAUAUUUCGUACGAGGUUUCUUCGAGUGUUUCUUGUAUUCUGCCUUUGACCUUGAUGAUGCUAAGGUUUACUUGAAUUCGAUUUUAAGAGGUUAGAAAUGUAAAUUGUCUUUUUUAAGUUGGAGAUGAUAGGAAUUCUUGUAGCUAUGGAGUUUGUUGAGAUUGUAGCAAUAAGCUUGAGUUUCUCUGAAUUGGAUCCAUCAUUUGACUUUGAUGUAUCCCAUGAGAUCUGAAGAGUAACUAAUAUCUUUAUUUACAUCAUGCAUUGUAAUGAAAUUCCAAGAUAGCAUGAGACACCAAAGGUAGAGAUGAAAUUAUACAAAGAAACGGGAAUUGAAUUCGAAGGCAUUUUUACUAUAAACAAUUCCAAUUAUUGUGUGAUUUUUUAUGGGAGGAUUUCACUUAUAGAAGAAAAAUAUUUCCACCAAUUGUUUGAGAACCAAGUUGGUAAAUUUUUUGGACAAAUGUUUUAUCAAAAUGGAUGAACCAUAAAUGAUCAUGGUUUUAGAAAAAGAAAAUCAAACCAAGCUCGUUGAUAAUCAAAAUAAUUAUAUCUUUGAGAUUAGUAGUUUCAAGAAAAUCUUUCAAGGUGUAGGGACUUUGACUCAAUUAAGUCUUGAAAGGUUAAAACCUUUUAAAUUUUUAUUUUUGAAAAAAAUGGAUUAUUUACAUCUUCAUUAUGAGUCACUUCAGCAGAGUUAAUGUCAAACCAGAACAAACUCAUAAAAUUAUCUUGUUUUCAAUAGUUUUUCUAUAAUGAACUAAAAUUGAAAGGGGAAGAUAUAAAAAAUGAUCUUAUUUAGGUUUUCAUUGUAAAAUUAUUUUUUAAUUGGACAAAUAUGAAGAUUUAUAGUUUCUUGACUUGGAAGGUUUAAUAAGUUAAUUUUUUCAGGGAAGAUUUGGAGGGUAAUUAACACAAGUGGAAGCACAAGCAAAUACACAAUAACAAGUAGGGUAUAAAAGUUGUUACAAGGGACCAUAUAUAUUGUGUUUUGAACUGGUGCUAUUGGCAUACCCAUAAAUCUAUUGGAACAAUAUUUUGGAAAUAAAAUGUCAAAGUUUUUUUUUCUUCUUUAACAUGAAAACUUUCUUUUUUCCAUUUAUUAAUAUUCAUAAACCAGAGAGAAUGUGAUUUUUCAAUUGAAUAUAUAUAAGGUAUGAAUUUCCUAUGCCUUGAGAAUGCACCAGAGUGGUGGCCCGCGCGACACCACGGAUCGGACCAAACAUGUUUUUCAAUAUGAAAAAAAUCUUUAGGAGAUAGUUGGGUUUUUAAAAUAAAAAAAAAAUAGAUAAUAAUGUUAAACCUUGAUUAAUUUUAUAAUAUAAUAAAAAAAUUAAGCAACAAUAACAAAGAAAUAAAAAAUAAUUACAUACAAAACUGGAUUAACACACGAAACUCGUGACCUAACACAUGAGAUCAGGAUAACCCUAUAGGAAUAUGAUACCAGUAAAAAUCCAUUGUUGAAAAAGGACAUGGAAAAAAAAAUCAAAGGCAAUAAAAUAUUGAAGGAUGAAAUUAAGAAAAAAAGUUCAAAUAAAAAUAAAUCAAAAAAAUAAAAAUCAAAUCUAACAUAAAACAAAAUUAACUAAAAUAUUGAGAGAUACAAUUAAAAAAAACAAUUCAAUUAAGAGAAAGAUAUAAAAUAUUGAGGGAUACAAUUGAAAAGAUAAUUUAGUUAAGAGAAUAAUUAAAAAUCAAAAUAAAAAUAAUAGGGAUCAAAUCUAAAAUGUAAACAAACCAAAUGAGAAUUAAAUUGAAAGAAAAUUUUAAAUGCAUGCAUAAUCUAAAAUAAAUGAAAUAACAAUAAAAAAAAAGAAAUCAAAUCUAAAAGAAAAAUAAAUUGAAGUGCUAUAUAAAAUCUUACUUUUUGUUACCACACAAGCUCUCUAGAAAUUGAUCGGCAAUAUCACAAGGAUAAAAACACAAUUAUAAAAGCUAGAGCUUGGCUGUCAAACGAUACCUCAUGUGUUGUCUAAUCAAAACAAAAGUACUAACCCGUGACCGUAUAAAUUGCAUGUGCAACUGUUUUUUUUUUUAAAUAAAUUAAUAUAAUAUAUACCUAAAUACUAAAGUGCAUUUUAUCGAACUUGAUAAUCACAAAAAAACCAAAAACAAGAGACAAAAACAAAACCCCUUGACCAAGGGCAAAGACAAUUCAAAUGCAAGGACACUUCAGUUUUUCACUGUGCAUGUGAAAAGGAAUACUUGAAAGUGACCCUCUCCACUAGUCCAUUACUUUUUAUUUAGAAGGAUAUAAUGGUUAUUUUACCAUGAAAAUAAAAAAAAAAAAUUAAUAUACCCUACUUCCAAAGCCAGCAAAAUCAUUAUCUCACUAUUCCAAUCGACAUUAACAAUGAGUUUGGCUGUACAAUAAUAAACCUAUACUAAAAUGGGAGCUCUUUUAGUCUCUUCUAAUGAAAGACUUAUUUACAGGAGGCUUUUUUAACUUUAAAUCUAAUUAAAUUAUGCUUGAAGUUGAGAAUAUAUCUUGGAUAACGUGAUAUAUACACUUUUUUAAUAAUUGAAGUGGCUGAAUGUUUUGUCAAAUAUUAUUGAAUAAUUAAAUUAGGUGGAUUUUCAUAAAGGAUGACGUCCACAUAUAUAAAAGAUUCUUUUAUAUCCAUGUGUGUGUGUAACUCAGAAGAUUAGGACCAUAAUCUGGAUUUUCAUUAGCGAAUUCAUCCUCAUGAGAACUUGAUAUUUAUACAAGGCUUUUUGGAGUUUUUUCUUGUUCUGACUUUGAGCUUGAUGAUGCAAGGCUUUCUUGAAUUCGACUUUUAGAGGUGAGAAUUGUAAAUUGUCGUUCUUGAGAUGGAGUCGAUGGGGAAUGCUUGCAGCUAUGGAGUUUGAUGAGAUUGUAGCCGAGCAUGCACAACUUGAGAACAAGCUUGAGUUUUUCUGAAUUGGGUCCAUCGUUUGACUUCGAUUUUCCUCAUGAGAUCUAAAGAGUAACCAAUACCUUCAUCUACAUCAUUUAUUAUAAUGAAGUCCCAAGAUAGCAUGGGACACCAAAGGUUGAGAUGAAAUAAAAAGAGGCAUGAAUUGAAUUCAAAGGUAUUUUUGUUGUCAACAAUUCCUAUCUUUAUAUGAAUUUUUAGGGAGAAUCUUACUUAUUGAAGAAAAAUAUUACCACCAAUUGUUUGAGAACUAAGUUGGAAAAUUCUUUGGACAAUGUUUUAUCAAAAUGGAUGAAUGAUGAAUGGUCAUAGUUUUUUAGAAAAAGAAAUUAAACCAAGCUUGUUAAUAAUCAAAAUUACUGAUUGGUAGUUUUGAGAAAAUCUUUCAAGGUGCAGGGGUUUUGAUUCAUGUCUUGAAAGGUUAAAACCUUUUAAAUUUUUAUUUUUAUUUAAAAAAAAAAAAAACAGGAUUGUUUACAUCUUAAUUAUGAGUUAUUUCAACAAAGUUAAUGUCAACCAGAAUAAACUUAUAGAAUUGUCUUGUUUUCAACAUAUUUUCUAAAAUAAAUUGAAAUUGAGAGGGGGGAAUAUAAAGAAUGAUCUUAUUUGGGUCUUCAUUGUAAAAUUAUUUUUUAAUUGGACAAAUAUGAAGAUAAUAGUUUCUUGACUUGAAAGGGUUAAUGCAUUUUUUAGGGAGGAUUUAGAGAGUAAUUAACAUAAGUGGAAGUACAGCAAAAAACCAAUAGCAAGAGAAAGAAAUAAUAGUUGAAAGAGGAUGAGUAAAAGAAUCCUAAUUUAUAGUUUUAUUGAUGAAGAGAAAAAUCCACUAUUUUUUUUUGCCCCUUUAAGAUAUUUAGAAUCUUUAAAAAGUUAAAACCAAACUAAACAAAUUAAAAAAUCCCAAAGAAAAGUAACAAAAUUCCUAAACAAACUAAGAGAAAUAAAAUUAUCAUUCUCAAUAUUUAAUUUCCUGAACUAGAUAGAAAAAAAUAAAAUCACCAUAAAGAAAAUAUUUUUCUAAACUAAAUAGAAAAUAAUAAUAAUAAUAACUAAGAAAUUUUAUUUUCAUAAAAAUCCUGGCAUCAACAAUAAUGUUGUUGAAGGUGCAUUUUAAGAUUAAACAAACAAGGGUGUUUUGAGAGAUUAAAAAUAAUUUAAGUGAGGUGUUUGGACUGAGUGAUGUUGAUGAAAGGAUUCAAAAUUGAUUAUUUGAGACAAAAACUAGCCUCACAAUAGGAGGCCAUACCCUCCUUAAAGUAUCUUGAAUGCUUGAUGUUGUUGCUUGAAUUGGUUUUAAUGGUGUAAGAGUAUUUGAUUCUUUUAACUUCUUGACCGGGAUGCUCAUUUUGAGCCUAGUAAAGACUCUUUGACUUUUAUGAAUUCAAUCUUGUAAAAGUAUCUAAGAUUUGUAAAAAUAUCUAAAACAUAAUUCAGGCAUCUCAUAAACCUUUAAAGCUGGGUUUUAUCCUUGGUUUUUUCUACGGAUUUAUCAAUAAAUUUUAGUGAUCUAGUGAUUAGAGUUAUUGAUUCUUGAUACAUGUUGUAUCCUAAAAAAUAUAUUUUUAAUUAACAUCUUUAAGGUUGAGACAACUAAUCUAUUUUGUUUGAUAAUAUUGAGAAGCUUUUGUAAGUUUUCGAAAUGUUUGGUUAUUAAUUUUAAAAAUAAAAAGUCAUCAUCUAUGUAUAUAAUCAUAAAUUUUAAAUACAGAUUAAAGAUGUCAUUUAUAAUGGUCUGAAGUUUUAAAUGAGUAGUUCAAAAGGCAUUACAUCUCAUUUGUAAUGAAUAAAUGUAACAAUGAAUGUUGUUUAGUAAUGAUUUUAUUAUUAUUAUUAAAUUAGACUUGCUAGAAUCCUGACCUUAUGUCAGAUUUUGAAUAUAUUGAAGCAUUUUAAAGUCUCAUCUCUCUUAUCAUCGUGUAUUGGAUAUCUAAUAUAUUGAAGCACUUUGUUGAGAGGCUUGUAAUUGAUGACAUGUCUUAGUGCACACUAUACCAUUAAACAAUUUUAUUGACAGAUUAAUUUCGUCGGUGUAAGGCAUGACAUCUGUCGGUAAAAUUAUUACCGAUGGUCUCAUCGAUGAAAUUCGUCCGUCGGUAUACUAAUCGCCGGUAAUUUCCUAUUCCGUCGCUAAUGUUGUCGGAAUUAAAAAAAAAAACCAACCACCGCCGGUCUUACAAACGGUGACACGCUGCAAAAACAAAAUUUCCCACGAGAACAUUACCGACGGAAUAUAUCGGUCUACAUUUUUAACGGUAAUCAUCAACGGAAUAUCCAUCGGUGAUGGUGGCAUGACGGUAAAUAUUUUAGAACUCUGUAAAAUACCAACAGAAAUAUUCCGUCGGUAAUAGUAAUGGUAAACACUGACGAAAUAUGUCCAUCGGUGAUUAUGGCAUGGGUGGUAAUUGUUUGGCAACUCUCGGUAAAAUACCGACGGCCAGGAUCCGUCGGGAAAGUCGUCGGCAUGUAUUUAUAAUAUAUAUAAAAAAUAAUUUAUUAAUAGUAAAAAAGCUUAAUAAACAAAUAAAAUUGUAUUAAACAUUAAAAAUAUAAAAAUAAUGUUAAAUAUUAUUCAUCCAAAUAUUCAUUACAAAUUUAAUGUGUUUAAAAAACAAAAUUAAACUAGAAUAGCGGUAGAGCUAGAGGAGGAGGAGGAGGAGGAGGAGGAGGAGGAGGAGGAGGAGGAGGAGUUGGUUGUUCCCGGGACCGUACGACCAAAAAGGAGCUGCACAUGUAUCAUCACCCAUCCUUGAUAAUUACUCCAUGACCAUUUGAUGGAGUUGAUCAUAAUUCAUCGAGAGUUGUUCAUAUUGUUGUUUCAAGGCCAUGAACUUCUCAGACUGGGUGCUCGAUGCUGAUGGAGAGCUCCUAACGGUUGAGACACUACGGGUUGAUCGCAAUUUUUCGGUCGUAGUGUUGGAGAGCCUGUGGACUCAAUUUUUUUUGGGACCACUAGACGAUCCCACCUCCAUCCACUAAUCCGAAUCAAAAUCCGGAUAGAUCGAAGGAUCGUCCCCAUAUCUCUCCCUCAACCGUCUAUUAUAGGUCUCCUGAAAUUUUUUAAAAAAUCAUCAUAUUCAAUUCAAGAAAAUAAUAACUUACUAAAUAAAAUGAUUGAACGAACAUACUACGAAGUGCUGAGCACGGUUGUCCACAAACUACUGCACCCCUUUUUGGCGAUCUUGACUCCGCACAUGCAUCUCUACAAACAACUCCAUUGGACGUAGCUUAUAAGGAAAAAAUAGGUUGCAAUUAAGUUAAAUAUAUUUAUAAGCAACGACAAAUUAAUUAAUGAUAUAUCUCAUUAAAAUUAAUCUUACCAUCCGCUUUGCAUGUGUGCUGAACGGGACGGAGCCGUCGGUGUGCAUGGUCACCAAACCAUGAAUUUACCAGUUCCGGUUGUGGGCGCCGAAUUGUGAGCACCAUGAUAACCACUCUAAGGUCACGUGCUCAAUAUAUGUUGUCCAUAUAUCUCUCGAGAUGAAUGGCAGUUUGAAUUCCCGCCAAACCGCUACCUCAUUCCAUCCUUUAAGACCGUUAUCCCUCGCAUGUCUUUUUGAUUUUUUUUAUUGAACCAACCAGUUUAACUCGGUUUUUUUGGUUUGGCUAAGUUUUUUAUUCUGACUUGGCUCAGUUUUUUCGGUUUUAGGCUUAUAAACAUAACCGAACCAAUCAGUUUUUUAAAAUUCUAAUCGGUUUAAUAAGUUUUUUUUACAGUUCGGUUUUUUCGGUUAUUUUUUUUAUGGUUCUCUCGGUUUAAUCAAUUUUUUUAUUUUCUUGCUUACCCUUACAUAUAGGUAGUGAAAGGGAAAUUACGAAUUAUACAGAAUUGAACAAAAAAAUAGAAGGUCAAUUUUUAAAAUAGAAUGCCCACUCCGGCGUGAAAAAUGGAAUAUUAAAGGCAAAUACAUGUUGUUGGCAAAGUUCCAAGCCUGGGGUCCAGUUUCAUGCAAACAUCUAAUGCACGUUAUGAGGCAACAAAUAAAGCAGGAAGAGAAUAGACUAAAAAGAAAUCUAUAAUGUUAAAUCUAUGAUGAAAUUUAUUGGUCUAAGAUGCUAAAAAAUUAACAUGUAUUUAAACUUAUAUAUAUUAUAAUACCUCGAAAAUAUAGAGUUGAUCAAGUUCAGAAUAUGUGGACAUGCUUUUUAUAAAUUCAAAACUAGUAGAGGAAAGACUCAUAUCGUAUAUAGAAAACUUAGAUAUUUUUCAAUUAUACCUAGAAUGCAAUGACAUCAUCAUUCACAAGAUUUUGUGGAUGUUUUAUUAUAUGAUAACAUCAAAAUAUAUUGAAAGAUUAUGUAUAUAUCAUUAUGAAUAGUGGAGAUAUGAUACAAUUAAAUGAGAAUUUUAUAUAACUAGAUAAAAAUAUGAAAUAAAAAGACUAUGUGGAUGAUCUAAUAUAUAUUUUUAUAUACCAUUGAGACAUUCUAGAUCUAAAAAGAGGUCUUGUCGUGUCAAAUUAGACGAACAUCUUAGGACCAUGUCUUUUAUCAAAUUGUUAGAUUUCCCGGAUUAGGUAUCAAAACUGAAUAUUGUUAUUUGGGUUAAUUUUUUUUUUAAUUUUUUCAAGGUUUUUUUUUUUGGAUUUAUUAUUUAAUUUGAUUUAUUAUUUUAAUUUCUUUUGCUUUUUUGUAUUUCUAGUUGUUUUCUAAUAGAUGUAGGGCUUUUUUGAUCUAUUUAUAGGUCUUAUAAACCUUUUAAAAGAUAAACUUAUUAGGUUUAUUUUUAGAUAAAUAAAUCAUAAAUUUGUGUUUCACAUAUAUAAUUUUUUUUGUUCAUUAAAUUUUAUUGUGUUUUAUGUAUUGUUACUAUUCUUAUAGGUCUCUGCUGCAUCAACCAUGCUUUGAGUUGGCUAAUUGUUAUUUUUUAUUUCAUAUUAAGUAUAAACAGGUAGUGAAAGGGAAAUUAAGAAUUAUACAGAAUUGAACAAAAAAAUAAAAGUUCAAUUUUUAAAAUAGUAUGCCCACUCCGGCGUGAAAAAUGGAAUAUUUCACAUCUAAUGCACGUUGUGAGGCAACAAAUAAAGUGGACCAAUUGGAAAUGAAAGAAGUGACCUUUGAACAAAGACUUCCAAGUCGUUGGCAUUAUGCAAUCAAUAAUUCAACAUUAAAAAAUCCCAAGUUGUUGCCUUUGAAAUGUCUAAUGCACGUUAUGAGGCAACAAAUAGAGUGGACCCAUUGGAAAUGCAAGAAGACCUUUGACAGGUCGUCUGUGCUGUGUAGCAGUGACCUCUGAAAGACAUCAAAGACUUCCAAGUCGUUGGCAUUAUGCAAUCAAUAAUUCAUCAUUAAAAAUUUUGGUAACUUUCUGGAAAUGAGACGUGAGAUUUUUCGUCCUUAACAUGUGGACCUUUCUUUAUUGACUUUCAUAAAUUUAGAUAUAACUAGUAAAUUUAAGUUGUUUUAUCUUAUUAAUUUAUACACUCAUUUUAAUUCUGUACCUCCUCGAUUCCUCUGGCAUGCAUCAUCACUCCGUAAUCAUUGUAUAUGGGAACCCCAUUUCCAUCAGCCCAAGAAAUUAUAUCUGCGUAAAGCUCGGCAGUUUGAUUAGCGAUAUAUAUUUGAAAGAUCAUAUCGCCUUCCCGCAAUAUAAUCGGUAUAAACUGACAGAAAUGAAGCCUAAAAAGAUAGGUGAAUGUGGAUUGGACCGGAAACUGCCAAGUCAUAUUGUAUUCCUUAUUUACAGUAGAAUUGGGUCCCAUGGUCCUAGCAGUUCGAUAGAGUACAUCAGGUGCAGCAUAGCGAGUGAGGUUAUUAUACUGAAGUUGAAUAGUGCCAUUAUAUUGAUAAACGCUCGGUCUAGCAUCCGUCAAGUAAUCGUCGUCGUUUAGCCAACUUUGAAUAGUGCCGUUAUUUUGAUGUUGUGGAUGUUUUGUUAUGAAUAUUUGGUGAAGAUAAGAUACAACUAAAUAAGAAUUUUAUACAACUAGAUAAGGAUUGAAACAGAAAAACUAUAUUGAUAAUUUAAUAUAUAUAUUUAUAUACCAAUAAAACAUGUUUAGACCUAAAAAAAAGGUCUUGUCCCUCAAAUUGGAUAAACAUCUUAAAAUUGCAUCUCUUAUCAAAUUAUUAGAUCUCCAGGAAUUAUGCACCAAACCAAAAUAUUGUUGUUUGGGUCAAAUUUAUUUAUUUUUCCUAGUUUUUUUAUUUAUUAUUUAAUUUGGUUCUUUAUUUUAUUUUAUUAUGUUCUUUUGUAUUUCUAGUUGUUUUCUAAUAGAUGUAGGAUUUUUUUUUAAUCUAUUUAUAGGUUUUAUAAACCUCUAAAAAAAUAAACUUCAUUAGUUUUAUUUCCAUAUAAAUAAAUCAUUAAUUUAUAAUUUACAUUGUAAUCUUUUUCGCUCAUUAAAUUUUAUUGUGUUUUUGUAUUGUUACUAUCCAUAUAGGUCUAGGCUGCAUCAACCAUGCUUUGAGUUGUCUAAUUGUUUUUUUUUUUUUUUCAUAUUAAGCAUAAACAAAAAAAUAAAAUAAAAGGUCAAUUUUUAAAAUAGGAUGCCCCAUCCGGAGUGGAAACUGGAAUAUGAAAGGCAAAUACAUGUUGGUGGCAAAGUUCCAAGCCUUUGGGCCCAGUUUCAUGUAAACAUUAGGCAACAAAUAGAGGGGACCAAUUGGAAAUGGAAGAAGACCUUUGACAGGUCGUCUCGUCUGUGCUGUGUAGCAGUGACCUUUGAAAGGCAUCAAACACUUCCAAGUCGUUGGCGUUAUGCAUCAAUAAUUCAACAUUCAAAAAAAAAUCCGCACUUUCCAAGAAAAUUAACUUUCAAGACAUCAUAAUCAGACUUCUGCAUAUUUCCGUGGAAUUUUAUUUUUUAUUUUUUUUAAAAUAUGGAAAUAUAUUGGUAACGUUUUAGAAAUGAGACGCCAGAUAUUUUUCGUCCUUAACAUGUGGACCUUUCUAUAUUGAUUUUCAUAAAUUUAGAUAUAACUAGUAAAUUCACGUUGUUUUAUCUUAUUAAUUUAUACAUUCAUUUAAUUAUUAUUUAAUAUUUGUUUUUCUUAUUUUCUCUACAAUAUCACUUGAUAAGUUGGCAAGGAUAAUGAUGUCCAAUAUAUUUCAGAAAAUAAUACAUGAAAGUCUUACAAUGUUGUUAUCAAUUUACUAUUUUACUAAUACCAUACAUCUACAUGCAAUAAAUAUAUUUUUCAUUUUUUCUUAUUGUGUGGAAUUUUUUUUUUAUAAUACUCAGAAAAAAAUAAUAAUUAAAAGAAUAAGGACCAAACUAGAACAAUUUUAUUUUUGUUUUUAAUGCUUUUUUAACUUAAUUGUUUUCAAUUUUAUCCAUAUAUAUUUUAUUUAAUUUAAUUAUUUAAUCUAGUUUGGUCCUCAUUCUUUUUAUUACUAUUUUUUUUAAAUUUUAUUUCUCAUCAUUUUAUUUCGUUUAAUUUUUGUGUCCAAUUUUGGUACUCAUUCUUUGAUUGCUUUAUAUAUAUACUAAAUAUAUAUAUCAUUUUCUUAAUUUAUUUUAAUUUUCAAUUUAGUCUCUUAUUGUUUUCUUUUAUUUAAUUUUUAUGUCAGAUUUGGUCCUUAUUUUUUAUUGUUAUUUAUUUAUUUCUUAUCUAAUUUUGGAUGAUUAGGGAUUUUGCUUGGUAUUUUUUAGAGUUUGCCUUUUAUGAUUUAAUCCUGAUUUCAUUACUCAAGUCACUAGUUUCGAGGAUUAGCCCGAUUUAAAUUUGAUAUUUUUUAUACCUUUUUUUUAAAAUUGAUUAUUUUUUAAUUUUAUCAUUUAAUUUAGGUUAUUAUGUCUUGAGUUUCAUAAUUUUUUCUACUUUUCUUUUUCUAUAUCAUCCUAUGUCAUGGGUUUGCUGGGUGAACUCAGGGUCAUUCAAGUUUUAAUUUCAUUUAGUCUUGAGUUUCAUGGUUUUUAUUUAAUUCUUUUAUUUUAUCAUUCCACAUUAAAUUAUUGGGUUUUGAGCUUCAUGGUUUUUUCCUCAUUCUUUUAUGUGAGUUUAUCUUGAUCUCAUAUCAUAGGCUUAGAUUUUUUAUUGCGUUUUUAUUUCAUCAUUUGAAAUUACAUUAUUGGGUUUUAAGCUUUGUGAUUUUUUUUAAUUUUUUUUUAUGGGGUUAUCCUGAGUCGCAGGUUUGUCAAGUUAACCCGAGUUGACUUCGAGUUUUUUUUUUAUAAUCCUUUUAUUUUUCUUCGGUCUUUUUUUCUUGGUCCUUUUUAUUUUAAAUAAUUUUUUAUCCCGAUCACAUUUUGCGGGUUGCGAAUUAGUCGAGUGAACCUUGGCUCACUCAAAUUUUUUUACAUUGUUUCUUUUUAAAUUAUUUUUUAUUUCAAUUUAAUUUUUUGAUAUUAGAUUGUUAGGUCAUGAUCUUAGUGAUUUUUUCCACUUUCCUUUAUACGAGGUUGACUCGAGUUACGAGUUAAUCAAGUUAACCAGGGUGGCCUCAUUUAUUUUCUUGAUAUUUUAUUUAUUGAUUUAACUUCAAUCUUUUUUAUUUAAGUCUUUUUUUUAAAAAAAUAUUUUUUUAAUUCUAAUCUCAUAUUGAGGGAAGCGGGUAGUUAAGUGAUUUCGAGUUGACUUGUGUUUUUUUUUGAUGUUUCUAUUUUUAAAUUUUAUUUUCGAGUUUCAUUUUUUAACAUUAGGCUAUUAGGCUUGGAGCAUUAUUUUUUUUUUCGUUUUCCUUUUAUAGAAUUAUAUUAAUUUUUUAUCCUAGAUCAGAGGUUACUCAAAUUAACCUAACUUAACAUAAGUGAUCAAUGCCUUAACAUUUUUUUUUCUGUAACAUGGAUCACCAUACCAGUAAUAUAAAAAAGAGAAAUGGGGACCAAAUUCUUUUAUCUCUCUCUCUCUCUAGAGAGAGAGAGAGAUCAUUGGAGUCUAAAAGUAAAUUUGAUAUCUUCAUGAUGAAUAAAAGUACAAAAUUAGAUUAAUUGAAAUAUUAUUAGUUUAGUUAUAUAAAUAUAAAUAUUACGUAAAGUUUAUGUCAUUUAUCUACACAUAAAGAAAAUCUAAAAUCUUGGUAGAUUAAAAAUCUUUUUUCUCUUGUGAGCAUAAACUCUCUUUUUUUGUUUUUGUUUUAGCUAGAAGUGGUAAAAAAGAGAUAUACAGAGGAUAUGAGAUUGAUCAGCUCUUUUUAAUAUGCAGAGAGAUUCAAACCAUUGACGUAAUCAAGAUUUUACUAAUUAAAGGUUUUGAGCAUUUAGCUAAAUAUAUGAUACAAUAAAAUAAGAAUUUUAUACAACUAGAUAGAGAUUUGAUCUAGACAAACUAUAUAGAUGGCCUAAUAUAUAUUUUUAUUUAUCAAUGAGAUAUGUCUAGGUCUAAAAGAAGGUUAUGUAGUGUCAGAUUAAGUUAACACCUUAAAACUGCAUCUCUUAUGAGACUAUCGGAUUUUCAGAAAACACACCCCUUGCUCUUUGAUCUGGAUCACUUUGGGUGACACUUUCGCGAGUGCUAACAGUGCUCCUUGAAUGCGACUCCGCUCCACUAAACAUGUCAUCGUCAUCAGUGGUCGUGACAUCUUGAUGUGGUGAAAAUGAGCUUUUAUUUUCCAUAUUGAUCCCGUCUACACUGUUGGCAUUUUCCUCAGCAGAUUGUUGAAGCUGCAAUGCAAAUUCAAGGCCCCAAACGACAUCACCCAUUUUAGGGCGUUCAAUUCCUGAAACAUGUAAGCAACUGUUAGCAAUCUCUGCCAACUUAUUUAAAGAGACAGGGGAAACCUCGCCCUUUAAAUGUGGAUCCACGAUCUGAUCAAGGGUUCCUCUUUGGUAACACUUUCUUGCCCAGUCAGCUAAGCUUGCUUGAUCUUUCGGUGAACUUGGAAUCACUGGUGGCCUUGCACAUAGCACCUCAAACAAAACCACACCGAAUGAAUAAACAUCAGAUUUCUCUGUCAGGUGUUGCCUACGGUAGUACUCUGGAUCCACAUAUCCAAUGCUACCUCUAACUACAGUGCUAACAUGGGUUUGGGAUGUACUAGUGGGACCCAAUCUGGACAGCCCAAAAUCUGAAACCUUAGCCACCCAAUUCUCAUCUAACAAUAUGUUUGUUGACUUCACAUCACGGUGAAUGACUGUGUGCUUUGCUCCUGAAUGAAGAUAAUGCAACCCUUUAGCAGCACCGAUGCAUAUUUCUAGCCUUUGCUUCCAUGGAAGAGGAGAGUUCUUUGUUUUGUAUAGAUGUUCUCUAAGAGUGCCUCUUGACAUGUAAUCGUAUACAAGAAUCAUCUCGCCAUGAUCAUCACAGUAUCCAAUCAGCGACACUAGAUGGAGGUGGCGCAGAUUGGAUAACAUCUCAAUCUCUGUCUGGAACUCACGUGUCCCUUGCUUUGAUGAUGAAUCUAGUCGUUUGAUGGCUACUGCACCGUAUUCAAUGUAUCCUUUAUACACAGUACCAAAUCCCCCUGAACCAAUAAUAUUUUGAUCAUCAAAGUGUCCUGUUGCUUCGUUGAUUUCGAAAAAUGUAAACCGUCGGCAAAGAUCAGUAGGGAGUGAUGAAGAGAUUGUAGUCGUGGACCUAGAUGUUUGUGAUAUUAGAGUCCAGGAGGAUUUUUCCUCACUCUUGCUAGGGUCCUUGACUCGCUUCUGCUUGAAAGCAAAGAAAUAAAGAAUAAGAGAGCAAGCAAACACUGCACCUAUGGAACCUCCAACGAUGGCUAUAACCGUAAGUAUUGAUGAUCUUUUGCCCGUUCUUCUGUCUUGUAGACUUGGAUGUUGUUCUGCUGGUGGAGGAGCCACUGUUGGCUCAGGGUUGGAUCCUGCAAGAUUUCCGUCUGUUGUAUUCAGCUUGAAUAUUUCCAAGCCAUUCAAGAUUGCAUCAGCAUAAGUAGGUUUCAGUUCCAUGUUAGGGUGUAGUUGGAGCCACAAGUUCCUGCUUGCUCUGGCUACCUUGAGGGACCAGCACGAUGUAGUCUUUGUAAACUGGAAUGCCGUUGCCACCGCUCAUAUGGAUCACAUCUGCAUCAUGCUCCGCUAUUUGAUUGUUGAUGAAUAUUAAAAAUACCUGUUGAUUUACACUUUUGAACUCCUUUCGAGUCUCACAAAAGUGGAGUCUAAGGAGGUAAUUGAAACCAACAUCAACUGAGAAGAUCCAUGUGAGAUUGUAAUUCAUGUUAAGAAGUGGUUCAGGACCCAUAGAACGCAUAGUACUAUAUACCAUAACAGGUGCGGAGUAAGCUGGCGUUUUGGUUGUGUACUCUAUCUUGACGCCUGAGUGAUAUGGAGUGGUUCCAGCUUUUCCAAAGAGAUACCCUGAAUCUUGAUGCCAUGUCCUGUACAUUCCAGUCUUGUCUCCAGUGCUGCUGAUAUCUUGCCCCCCAACAUUCAGUCGAUAAACUGUCUCAAGCGCAGUUGUGUUACCCAGAUAGAAGGGGGCGGUGCCCACAUAGGUCGGUGGAUUAUCAUCGCCACGAGCAUAGAAGCUGUCUGGCAUGGAAACGAUUUCGAUACCAUUAACGAAGGCAAAAGAUGCUGGAGACGGAUUGAAGGUUAAUUCAAGCUUCUGGUUGUCCCACACGGUGAUGAUGAACUCUUUGGUGAAGGAGUCAACUGGAGGUCUUAUAGCAGAAACUGUAAGAGAGGCACUAAAGUUGUUUAGUAGCUGGUAGGUAUUGGCACUAAGCGAAAAAUAGGAUUUGGAUAUAUCAAGAUUUGAGUAAGAAGAUGGAUAAAAGUAGAGACGCACAAAUUUUGGGCCAGGCAAGACUAGAAAUGUGUAAGUGAAUUUAGAGUGAAAAAUACGGGCUGUCUUGUAUGGGACUUGGUCGACAGAGGGGGUCUUGAGUGGAGGCUUCAAACACAGAUGAGGCUUCUGGGGGAUUAGAGGCAGCAAACUUCGGCUGGGAAUCACCAUCCCAACUGCGACCAUCUGGAGAUGACAAAUUAGAGGAUGCACCACAGUUAAGGAGUAUUAGAUCAGUGGGGCUGUGUGGCAGCAAGUAAUCAUUAGUAGCAGUAACAUAGAGGAAGAGAUGGAGGGGAGGGAGAAGGUAGAGAGCGAUGAAGAUGGACAUUAUGCUAUUUCUUUUGUGGAAUAAGUUGGAGUAAGAAAACCUAUGCAUUAAAUGCAAAGAUUUUGAUUUAAGGGAAGAUGAUCAGUGGCGUUUUUGUCUCC